rnacentral:rRNA from 1 species
AGUGAACGCUGGCGGUAGGCCUAACACAUGCAAGUCGAACGGCAGCACAGUAAGAGCUUGCUCUUACGGGUGGCGAGUGGCGGACGGGUGAGGAAUACAUCGGAAUCUACUUUUUCGUGGGGGAUAACGUAGGGAAACUUACGCUAAUACCGCAUACGACCUACGGGUGAAAGCAGGGGAUCUUCGGACCUUGCGCGAUUGAAUGAGCCGAAGUCGGAUUAGCUAGUUGGCGGGGUAAAGGCCCACCAAGGCGACGAUCCGUAGCUGGUCUGAGAGGAUGAUCAGCCACACUGGAACGGAGACACGGUCCAGACGCCUACGGGAGGCAGCAGUGGGGAAUAUUGGACAAUGGGCGCAAGCCUGAUCCAGCCAUACCGCGUGGGUGAAGAAGGCCUUCGGGUUGUAAAGCCCUUUUGUUGGGAAAGAAAAGCAGCAGGUUAAUACCCCGCUGUUCUGACGGUACCCAAAGAAUAAGCACCGGCUAACUUCGUG